rnacentral:rRNA from 1 species
AGAGUUUGAUCAUGGCUCAGGACGAACGCUGGCGGCGUGCCUAAUACAUGCAAGUCGAACGAACUCUGGUAUUGAUUGGUGCUUGCAUCAUGAUUUACAUUUGAGUGAGUGGCGAACUGGUGAGUAACACGUGGGAAACCUGCCCGGAAGCGGGGGAUAACACCUGGAAACAGAUGCUAAUACCGCAUAACAACUUGGACCGCAUGGUCCGAGCUUGAAAGAUGGCUUCGGCUACCACUUCUGGAUGGUCCCGCGGCGUAUUAGCUAGAUGGUGAGGUAACGGCUCACCAUGGCAAUGAUACGUAGCCGACCUGAGAGGGUAAUCGGCCACAUUGGGACUGAGACACGGCCCAAACUCCUACGGGAGGCAGCAGUAGGGAAUCUUCCACAAUGGACGAAAGUCUGAUGGAGCAACGCCGCGUGAGUGAAGAAGGGUUUCGGCUCGUAAAACUCUGUUGUUAAAGAAGAACAUAUCUGAGAGUAACUGUUCAGGUAUUGACGGUAUUUAACCAGAAAGCCACGGCUAACUACGUGCCAGCAGCCGCGGUAAUACGUAGGUGGCAAGCGUUGUCCGGAUUUAUUGGGCGUAAAGCGAGCGCAGGCGGUUUUUUAAGUCUGAUGUGAAAGCCUUCGGCUCAACCGAAGAAGUGCAUCGGAAACUGGGGAACUUGAGUGCAGAAGAGGACAGUGGAACUCCAUGUGUAGCGGUGAAAUGCGUAGAUAUAUGGAAGAACACCAGUGGCGAAGGCGGCUGUCUGGUCUGUAACUGACGCUGAGGCUCGAAAGUAUGGGUAGCAAACAGGAUUAGAUACCCUGGUAGUCCAUACCGUAAACGAUGAAUGCUAAGUGUUGGAGGGUUUCCGCCCUUCAGUGCUGCAGCU